rnacentral:misc_RNA from 1 species
GUGAAUCAUCGAAUUUUUGAACGCAAAUUGCACUCUCUGGUAUUCCGGGGAGUAUGCCUGUUUGAGGGUCAGUUUAAAUAAAAAUCGGUGUGGGUGCUGCGUUUCUUGGUGAGGCACCGGAUGUGGGUCGUCUUGCCUUCGGUUAGGAGACGUAGAAUUUAUCAUGGUUUGUUCUAAAGUAUGUAAAU